CCUACGGGAGGCAGCAGUGGGGAAUAUUGCACAAUGGGGGAAACCCUGAUGCAGCGACGUCGCGUGAAGGAAGAAGUAUUUCGGUAUGUAAACUUCUAUCAGCAGGGAAGAAAAUGACGGUACCUGACUAAGAAGCCCCGGCUAACUACGUGCCAGCAGCCGAGGUAAUACGCAGGGGGCAAGCGUUAUCCGGAUUUACUGGGUGUAAAGGGAGCGUAGGCGGGUCAGCAAGUCAGAAGUGAAAGCCCGGGGCUCAACUCCGGGACUGCUUUUGAAACUGUUGGACUAGAGUGCAGGUGAGGUAAGUGGAAUUCCUGGUGUAGCGGUGAAAUGCGUAGAUAUUAGGAGGAACACCAGUGGCGAAGGCGGCUUACUGGACUGUAAAUGACGCUGAGGCUCGAAAGCGUGGGGAGCAAACAGGAUUAGAUACCCUAGUAGUC
rnacentral:rRNA from 1 species